AGUCGAACGGCAGCACGACUUCGGUCUGGUGGCGAGUAUGAACGGGUGAGUAAUGUAUCUGAACGUGCCUAGUAGCGGGGGAUAAUCACAUGAAUGGAAAUAAUAAUGUACAUUGCCCUUCGGGGAAAGCGAAGGACCUUCGUCCACACCGUUCAGAGCGGUCGAUAUCGUUCAGCUAAUGCCGGGGUAACGGCUCACUGGCUAUGACGAUCCGUGCCACGUCUGGUCUGAGAGGACGACCAGCCACAUCCGGGACUGAGACAUGCCCAGACUCCUACGGGAGGCAGCAGUGGGGAAUUUUGGACAAUGGGGGAAACUCUGAUCCAGCCAUCCCGCGUGCGAUGAAGGCCUUCGGUUGGAACCUUGGUAGAUGUCACAUAAACGGUCAUCGGGAUAAUACCCGUGCAACUGACGGUGUCCUGAGAAUAAGCACCGGCUAACCACGUGCCAGCAGCCGCGGUAAUACGUAGUUGGUGUAAGAACAAUCGAAUUACUGGGCGUAAAGCGUGCGCAGGCGGUUCGGAAAGAAAGAUGAAAUCCCAGAGCUUAACUUUGAAACCGCAUUUUUAACUACUGAGCUAGAGGGAGAGCGAACUGCAUGGCGAAAUGCGUAGAUAUGCGGAGGAACACCGAUGUACAAGGCAGCCUCUCCUGGGAUAACACUGACGCUCAUGCAGAGCAAAAUACGGAGCAAACAGGAUUAGAUACCCUGGUAGUCCACGCCUCAAACGAUGUCAACUAGCUGUUGGGGCCUUCUGGCCACCAGAAUGCAGUAGCUAAUGAAGUUGACCGCUCAGAGUAUCAUCAAACAGAGAUUAAAAGUCCCAAAGGAAUUGACGGGAACGCACAAGCGCGCAUUGAUGUCAUGUGGAUUAAUUCGAUGCAACGCGAAAAACCUUACCUACCCUUGACAUGUUCGGGAAUCCCGAAGAGAUUUGGACGUCGCUCGCAAGAGAACCGGAACACAGGUGCUGCAUGGCUGUCGUCAGCUCGUGUCGUGAGACGGCCUGUUAAGUCCCGCAACGAGCGCCAACCUUUUUCGCUGGUCGCUACGAAAGGCACUCUAAUGAGACUGCCGGUGACAAACCGGAGGAAGGUGGGGAUGACGUCAAGUCCUCGAUGGCUCCUGCGGGUAGGGCUUCACGACGUCAUACAAUGGUCGGGACAGAGGGUCGCCAACCCGCGAGGGGAGCCAUCCAGAAACCCGAUCGUAGUCCGGAUCGCAGUCUGCAACUCGACUGCGUGAAGUCGGAAUCGUCAGUAAUCGCGGAUCAGCAUGUCGCGGUGAAUACGUUCCGGGUCUUGUACACACCGCCUGUCACACCAUGGGAGUGGGUUUUACCAGAAGUAGUUAGCCUAACCGCAAGGGGAGGGCGAUUACCACGGUAGGAUUCAUGACUGGGGGUGAAGUCGUAACAAGGCAG
rnacentral:rRNA from 1 species